AGUUAAUGAACUUGUAUAAGUAUAUAUUUUGAAAAUAUAAAAAAGAGUAGUAAAUCUCUAUUAACUU
rnacentral:tRNA from 1 species